CCUCCCCCUCCUUAGAAGCCGAUCACCAGACCGCUACCCCUCUCUUUCUCUCUGAUUUCCUGAUUGAAGCUGCGGACACUCAUCUUGUUCUCGCCGUGAUUGCUCGCCGGUGGGGUCACCGAAGGCCGAAGUGAGUUCUCCUUCUCUUCCUCUCUUCUUUCUCCUUCUUUCCGUGGCUUUGUGCGCGACUGCUGGCGAUGGGUGUCGCCGAUUCUUGAUCGGAAAAGAGACCCCUAUUUUGACCUCUUUUUCCUUGAAUUUUUUGAUGCCGAC
rnacentral:lncRNA from 1 species